CUGGAGGUAUCAGAAGUGCGAAUGCUGACAUAAGUAACGAUAAAGCGGGUGAAAAGCCCGCUCGCCGGAAGACCAAGGGUUCCUGUCCAACGUUAAUCGGGGCAGGGUGAGUCGACCCCUAAGGCGAGGCCGAAAGGCGUAGUCGAUGGGAAACAGGUUAAUAUUCCUGUACUUGGUGUUACUGCGAAGGGGGGACGGAGAAGGCUAUGUUGGCCGGGCGACGGUUGUCCCGGUUUAAGCGUGUAGGCUGGUUUUCCAGGCAAAUCCGGAAAAUCAAGGCUGAGGCGUGAUGACGAGGCACUACGGUGCUGAAGCAACAAAUGCCCUGCUUCCAGGAAAAGCCUCUAAGCAUCAGGUAACAUCAAAUCGUACCCCAAACCGACACAGGUGGUCAGGUAGAGAAUACCAAGGCGCUUGAGAGAACUCGGGUGAAGGAACUAGGCAAAAUGGUGCCGUAACUUCGGGAGAAGGCACGCUGAUAUGUAGGUGAGGUCCCUCGCGGAUGGAGCUGAAAUCAGUCGAAGAUACCAGCUGGCUGCAACUGUUUAUUAAAAACACAGCACUGUGCAAACACGAAAGUGGACGUAUACGGUGUGACGCCUGCCCGGUGC
rnacentral:rRNA from 1 species